UGGUAGAUGCACCUUGAUCUUCAACGUCCCCUGUUGGUUAACUAAUCGACAGGGUUUUUCUU
rnacentral:sRNA from 1 species